rnacentral:misc_RNA from 1 species
AUGUCUUGGUGCGUGGUCUGAUCAUGGUGAAAGAACUGGUGGCUUCUAUGCUUGCAACCGAUAUGAGGUUGCUAAGCAAGAUGGUGUGUAUGAUGAGGCUGAGAAAAGAAGAGAAAUGGCGAAGAAUUCUUUGGAGAGAUACACUCACUAUUAUGAACGUUGGGCAAGCAAUCAAACAUCUAGGCAAAAAGCAAUGGCAGAUUUGCAUCAAAUGCAGAAUGUGCAUA